rnacentral:rRNA from 1 species
CCUACGGGUGGCUGCAGUGGGGAAUAUUGGACAAUGGGGGAAACCCUGAUCCAGCCAUGCCGCGUGAGUGAAGAAGGCCUUAGGGUUGUAAAGCUCUUUUACCUGGGAAGAUAAUGACUGUACCAGGAGAAUAAGCCCCGGCUAACUUCGUGCCAGCAGCCGCGGUAAUACGAAGGGGGCUAGCGUUGUUCGGAAUCACUGGGCGUAAAGCGCACGCAGGCGGAUUGACAAGUUAGGGGUGAAAUCCCGGGGCUCAACCUCGGAAUUGCCUUUAA